rnacentral:rRNA from 1 species
CACAAGCGGUGGAGCAUGUGGUUAAUUCGAAGCAACGCGAAGAACUUACCAGGCCUUGACAUGCAGAGAACUUCCAGAGAUGGAUUGGUGCCUUCGGGAACUCUGACACAGGUGCUGCAUGGCUGUCGUCAGCUCGUGUCGUGAGAUGGUUGGGUUAACGUCCCGUAACGAGCGCAACCUUGUCCUUAGUUACCAGCACGUUAUGGUGGGCACUCUAAGGAGACUGCCGGUGACAAACCGGAGGAAGGUGGGGAUGACGUCAAGUCAUCAUGGCCCUUACGGCCUGGGCUACACACGUGCUACAAUGGUCGGUACAAAGGGUUGCCAAGCCGCGAGGUGGAGCUAAUCCCAUAAAACCGAUCGUAGUCCGGAUCGCAGUCUGCAACUCGACUGCGUGAAGUCGGAAUCGCUAGUAAUCGUGAAUCAGAAUGUCACGGUGAAUACGUUCCCGGGCCUU